rnacentral:lncRNA from 1 species
UGAAAUUUGGGGACAAAACUGCCAAUGAUUUAUUAACCAGAGUCACCAAUGAUUAACCCACCAAAUGCCUGGACCUUUGGGCUGGUUGGCUUCCUCUGUCAUCAGAGUUAAGUACCACCCCCUCUCCCAGCCACUUCUGGUCUGGAUCUUGUCUUCUGGUGCCCUGAUGGCGGCCACUCUUCAGUGACCCCUACAACCAGGAUUGACAGUUGUUUUGGGACAGGUCCCCCAGCUUGUCUGAGCCAACAGGGAGGUCCUUAGCCUUGUCACUUCUUCUUCAUUUCCAGCCUCUCCUGUGACUGGCUUGGCUCAGGCUAGGAGUCUGAAUGAAGGAGAGGAGAGACACCCUAUAAAACACCAUCUCUGUUUUAGACAUACUGAUGCCAGGCAGGAUGCCUGGGGCAUGUAUGGGCUCUAUACAGGCCUGCCUCAGGGGAGCGGGGAGCAGGGACCGGGUAAGGUGGCGACAGAAUUUGCUUGGGCACUGUAGCGUCGAGAAGUAGAGUGCCCCACCCUGCCACAUGCUGGGGCUGGCCUGUCCUAUGCUGUGACAUGCCACAGAGCUGCUGUACUGGAUCAUGAGACACCAGAAAAGGAAAGAAGAGGCUACUAGGAGAUCGGUCCACCAGUGGUACCCCAUGUGCCUGCCACCCCUCCCCAUGGAGUCAUCACACUCUCUAAGGCAGGCAGUCAUGAGUCUGGUCCCGGGAGCCCAAGUUACGCACCCCAACUCCCCCACACACCUCAGGGAAGAUUCAGGGAGGUCAGCGUGGACAUGACCCACCAGGCCGCAACCCUCUGUCUAUACUGCCUUCCAGGCAUCUGUGCUGUGGACAUUCUUGCUUAAAGGAGUCAGCACCCUGAGAUGUCACAUGCUGUAUGAGAGGGCAGAGGGCAGAUGCCAUCCACUGCUGGCCAGGACAUUAUGUUUGCUGCUGUGUCCUUGGCUGUAGGGAUGAACCUUGCUCACCACCACAAUUGUGCAAGGAUGGUCAGAAGUAUGUGGGGGGGAGUCUGAGCCAUUUAAUCCUGGCUUCCAACUACCUCUUAAGAAAGGAGACCAAAUGGUCCCAAAGAGCCACCAGGUGACCAUCUGAGGUGUGGAAAAACCUCUAAGGACACACAUCUGCUCCCAGCUUGGUGGAGGAAUCUCUUGACAAGACAGUGUAUCAUUGCUGCUAUGGGGGUUAGGGGGAGUGUCUUUCUUUGGAGCCUGAACCUUCCUCUCUAGACUGAGAGUCCUUAGGUAAAGAGCUAGUAACAAACAGCCGUGAUAUGAUAUGACUCAGCUCUCAGUUGCUUCCCCUUUCAAACUCUCCAUCCCCAACUUAGCAGUUAAGGGAAGCCAUGUUUAGAUAUCAUCUGGCAUCGAUCCACAGGCCAACACAGGUCACUCAUAAAAUCCUGAGACCAAGAUAACCUGCGGGUUCAGUGUUGAGAGGAAAAACAGGGAAACAAGUUGUUUGUGAUCCUAUAGACAAAACAAUUAUGAAAGUGACCUCUGCGUGUCUGUGACACUGUGGGGAGGGCAGAUCCUGGCUCAGCAUCAGCCAGUCUGGCCACCUUGCCUCCAGUAGCCGGGCUCUGCAGCAGCAGCAGGCGCUGAGUGAGAGGCCCUGCUCCAUGAAGAAGGCAAGCAUCUAGUCAGGAGCACGCAUGCAUGCGCGCACGCGCACACACAGCCAUAAACCUCCCUAGUACACACUCAGAGGACAUAAAAACACUAGUGAAGAACUCGCGUGAACCACACAGAUUAUUACCACGGUGCAAACCGCGUCCACAGUGCUGAGGGGACAGGAUAAUGGAGUGAUGGGGGCAGGCAGGGUAAUAGGAGACACUGCCUGGAAAGAUGCGUCCAUGCAGAGCUCGGGGCGGGGUGGGUAUGGAGACUUCCCAGCUAUCUCUGCGGCAGUAGCACUGUGAGGUGGGCGCCAAGGACUGUCACCGCCUCUUCUCCUUUAUCACCCCUGCUUCUCCUCAGCACAGACACAGGCCCAUUAUCUGCCUCCUGGGAGGGCUGGGAAGGGUGCUGUAGCAGGGACAGAGGAGGGAGCAGGGGGUAGGGUCUGUCGCCUAAGUUCCCCUAAAGGCCCAUCCAUCAAGCCAUCGGAGAUAAUCAGUGCUCAGCUGGUUCAGGACACUGAUGACUCUCUGGGCACCACAGACACAAAGAAUAAAUUUAGGAAGGGGCUGUGUAGGAGGUAUCUGGGUAGCAGGGCUGCUGCCCGGCCUGGGAAGGGAGAGAAGGCCCAUCCAUCAUUCUGAGAGAUGCAGCAAUCUAGGCCAAUGAGAUGGCGAUGCUUCGGGGCGGGGGUGGCGGGCAGUAAUAAUAAAAUCA